AUACGGAGGGGGCUAGCGUUGUUCGGAAUUACUGGGCGUAAAGCGCGCGUAGGCGGACUGGUCAGUUGGGGUGAAAUCCCAGGGCUUAACCCUGGAACUGCCUUCAAUACUGCCAGUCUUGAGAUCGGGAGAGGUGAGCGGAAUUCCUAGUGUAGAGGUGAAAUUCGUAGAUAUUAGGAAGAACACCAGUGGCGAAGGCGGCUCACUGGCCCGAUACUGACGCUGAGGCGCGAAAGCGUGGGGAGCAGACAGGAUUAGAAACCCCAGUAGUCC
rnacentral:rRNA from 1 species